rnacentral:lncRNA from 1 species
UGCAACCCAAGAGAAAAAAUAAGACCAUUGUUGCUUCUAUAACAAAGUAAACUUUUACAUCAGUGCCAAAAACUGCUUGCAAAACUACAAUAAGGUUCCAAACAUCUGAAAUAUAUGUACUUCUUUGCAUAAAUUUAUCAUGUAGCUAUUUCUUUUUACAUUUUCCAUUUUACAGGAAUGCUGAAUCAUGAAGAAUGGAGGCAGAAAUGGACAACAAGUAAAGAGAUCUACCUUUUCAUUCCCUUUUUAUCCAAAAACUGCUUGCAAAACUACAAUAAGGUUCCAAACAUCUGAAAUAUAUGUACUUCUUUGCAUAAAUUUAUCAUGUAGCUAUUUCUUUUUACAUUUUCCAUUUUACAGGAAUGCUGAAUCAUGAAGAAUGGAGGCAGAAAUGGACAACAAGUAAAGAGAUCUACCUUUUCA